rnacentral:rRNA from 1 species
UGCUGACGAGUGGCGCACGGGUGCGGAACGCGUAUCGAACCUGCCCCUGUCAGGGGAAUAGCCCAUGGAAACGUGGAUUAAUGCCCCAUGGCAUCACGGGAUCGCAUGAUUUUGUGAUUAAAGAUUUAUCGGACGGGGAUGGCGAUGCGUAUCAUUAGUUAGUUGGUAAGGUAACGGCUUACCAAGGCCACGAUGAUUAGGGGCCCUGAGAGGGGGAUCCCCCACACUGGUACUGAGACACGGACCAGACUCCUACGGGAGGCAGCAGUGAGGAAUAUUGGACAAUGGUGGGAACACUGAUCCAGCCAUGCCGCGUGCAGGAUGACUGCCCUAUGGGUUGUAAACUGCUUUUAUACGGGAAGAAACCCAGGUACGUGUACCUGGCUGACGGUACCGUAAGAAUAAGGACCGGCUAACUCCGUGCCAGCAGCCGCGGUAAUACGGAGGGUCCGAGCGUUAUCCGGAAUCAUUGGGUUUAAAGGGUCCGUAGGCGGGCCAAUAAGUCAGAGGUGAAAGGCCACGGCUCAACCGUGGGACUGCCUUUGAUACUGUUGGUCUUGAGUCAUAGUGGGGUUGCCGGAACAUGUGGUGUAGCGGUGAAAUGCAUAGAUAUCACAUAGAACACCGAUCGCGAAGGCAGGUGGCCAACUAUGUACUGACGCUGAUGGACGAAAGCGUGGGGAGCGAACGGGAUUAGAUACCCCGGUAGUCCACGCCGUAAACGAUGGAUACUAGCUGUGGGGACUUCGGUCUCCGUGGCCAAGCGAAAGUGAUAAGUAUCCCACCUGGGGAGUACGUUCGCAAGAAUGAAACCCAAAGGAAUUGACGGGGGCCCGCACAAGCGGUGGAGCAUGUGGUUUAAUUCGAUGAUACGCGAGGAACCUUACCAGGGCUUAAAUGCAGUAUGACAGAUCCAGAGACGGAU